UGGCGAACGGGUGAGUAACGCGUGAGGAACCUGCCUCAAAGAGGGGGACAAUAGUUGGAAACGACUGCUAAUACCGCAUAAGCCCACGGGUCGGCAUCGACCUGAGGGAAAAGGAGCAAUCCGCUUUGAGAUGGCCUCGCGUCCGAUUAGCUAGUUGGUGAGGUAACGGCCCACCAAGGCGACGAUCGGUAGCCGGACUGAGAGGUUGAACGGCCACAUUGGGACUGAGACACGGCCCAG
rnacentral:rRNA from 1 species